rnacentral:rRNA from 1 species
ACGCUCGACACCUACGGGAGGAAGCAGUGGGGAAUAUUGCACAAUGGGGGAAACCCUGAUGCAGCGACGCCGCGUGGAGGAAGAAGGUCUUCGGAUUGUAAACUCCUGUUGUUGGGGAAAAAGAGGAUGGUACCCAACAAGGAAGUGACGGCUAACUACGUGCCAGCAGCCGCGGUAAUCUGAGCGGGCUGGCAAGGC